ensembl:lncRNA
AUACACAUGUAAAAAUAACAUACAUUUUUAUAUUUAUGCAAAUGUAACAUUUUGUUUUGUUGUAGCAAACAUAUUUAAUUUUGCAUGAAACAACAAUUGUUGCUUUAUUUAUUUAUUCAUUUAUUUAUUUAUUCAUUUAUUCAUUUAUUCAUUUAUUGACUUUUUUUUUUCCGCCUUUUCUUUUUUUUUUUUUUUUUUUCCGCCUUUCCUUUUUUUUUUUUUUUUUUUUUACCUUCAAACAACACAUGAAUAGCGUUAGCAUUGCCAAAGAUUUAGACAACAUACUAAAGUUUGAUAGUAAAAAAAUUAAAAUUGAAAAAGAAAAUGAACAGAAGGCAUACAAAAAUACAAAUGAAACAUACUUAAAAAAGAGGAACUACAUUGGAUCAAAAUGUAUUAAAAAAGUAAUAAAAAAGUAUGUUGAUAAUUUUACAGAAGAUGAUUAUUUUAAAUAUGGUGUUGUAAAUAAUAAAAUACAUAAAAACAAUAAUAUAUAUAAAAAUAAUGAUAUUAAAUUAGUUAACUCAAAAAAUUUGGAAAUAGAUCGUACAUUAUGUAAAGUCCGAGGUAAAAACUUAUAUGAAGGUAUAUGCGGACAAACUAAUGAAAUUAUAAUCGAAUCGAUUAAUGCAGAAGGAAAGCUUAUAUACGACGAUCAGUGUAUAUUCGAAGGUUAUGUAAAAAAUAAAGAAGAUGUUGAUAAAUUAAAUUAUGCUAAAGAAAAAACCAUGGAAACUAACCAUGAUUAUGAUCAAUUUAUAAAAAAUAAUUUAUUUAAUAAAUAUUUAUAUGAAAGACAUAAUUCGUUAAUAAAUUUGGAUUAUAAUAGAUAUAAUAUAAAUAGUGUUUAUAGUAACUAUAAAAAUAUAAAAGAAAAAAAAGUAAAAGACAGAGAGGGGGAUUCCGAACAUGCGCACAUACGUGAGUAUAUACAUGAUCAAGGGAAUAAACAUGAUCAGGGGAACGAACAUGAUCAGAGGAACGAACAUGAUCAGAGGAACGAACAUGAUCAGGGGAACGAACAUGAUCAGGGGAACGAACAUGAUCAGAGAGAAAACAUAAAUAAGGGAAAAGGUGAAAAUAAUGAAAAAAACGAAGAACACCAACGAAUUGUAUAUUUCAAAAGGACUGAUUCGUUUAAGAAAGCAUGUGCAAAUACACAAAAUGUGCAUGACAUAAGUAGUUUCACCAAUGAAGAGACAAAUCGAAACAAGGCAAAGAUAACAGUGAGUAGCAUAGCACAACCAAAUAAUAAAAAAAUAAUACCACUUAUACAGAAAGAAAUACCGACAUACUAUACAAACAUAUUAAAAAAUAUAAGCGAUUAUAAUGAAACUAUAAAAAAAGCAUAUAUAUUUGAUCAUUUCGACUAUGAUACAGAAGAUUUGAAGUUAAUAAAAGAUAGCUUAAAAUGUAAAAUUCAUAAUUUAAAAAAUGGAACUUAUUUAUUAUCUUAUACUAUUACUAAAAGUGGAUAUUAUUAUCUUUCCAUAUUUUAUCGAAAACAGCCUGUAGGAAACACACCUUAUGUUAUUCACAUGAAAGCAUCAUCAGCAUAUGCACCUAAUUGUGUUUUAUACAAAAAUAUUAAUAAUAAAGUGAUAAUUCCAAAAAAAAAAAAAAAGAAGAAAAAAAAAAAAAAAUAUAUAUAUGAAAAGAGAUUUUGAAAAAAAAAAAGAUUCUGUUAUAAUAUAUAAUAGUACGUUACAUGAAGGUGGAUUUUGUUUGUCUAACUAUGAUAAUUGGUCCGACUAUAAUGAUGAUGUAGGAACAAGUUAUAGUGAGUAUAGUAGUAACAGUGGUUGUGAUAGUGGUUGUGAUAGU